CUUGGCGACUUCAACCUCCCGACGUCUGCCUUCGAUUCAUUUCUUUCCAACGCUCUCUUUCCCCUCCUUGCCUCUUUUGACCUCACCCUUUCCCAAUCCCCUCCAACUCACAAGGUAGGCAAUACGUUUGACCUCAUCUUUACUAGAGGCUGUUCUCCUACUAAUCUCACUGCAACCCCCCUCCAGGUCUCUGAUCAAUACUUUGUUUCCUUUUCAGUCUCCCUAUCCUCCAACCCUAACCACUCAGCCUCUACCCAGAUGGUCAAGCGCCAUCACAAUCUUCACUCUCUCUCUCUCCCUCUACUCUCUCCUCUUCUAUCCUAUCUCCAUUCUGCUAAAUCCUUCUCCCUCCUGUCUCCUGAUUCUGCCACUUCGACCCUACUCUCCUCCCUUUCCUCAUCCUAUGACUCGCACUGUCCCCUUUUCUCCCGACCAGGUCGGCCCUCCCCUCCUGCUUCGUGGCCAAGUGACUCGUUGCGAGUUUACAGAACAGGGCUGCAGGCAGCUGAGCAAAAAUGGAGGAAAACUAAACUUCCAGAGGACCUAUCAUUCUUUCACUCCCUCCUACCUACCUUCUCUUCCCAGAUGACAUCCUGCGACUAGUGAGGUCUGGCCGCCUGACAAUCUGCCUGCUUGACCCCAUCCCCUCCUCCAGACCAUCUCUGGAGGCCUUCUCCCACUCCUCACUUCCCUCACUUCCCUCAUCAACUCAUCCCUGACCACUGGCUGUGUCCCCUCUGACUUCAAAAUGGCCCGAGUUGCUCCCCUCCUCAAGAAACCAACACUCGACCAACAUCUGACAUCCAAACAACAUCUGACGUCAAAAACUAUAGACCUGUAUCCUUUCUUUUUUAUCUUUCCAAAACACUUGAGCGUGCUGUCUCUGAUCAACUUUCUCGUUAUCUCUCUCAGAACAAUCGUCUUGACUCUAGCCAGUCAGGCUUCACGACGGGUCACUCAAUCGAGACUGUUCUUCUCUGUUACGGAGGCUUUCCGCACUGCCAAAGCUGACUCUUCUCUGUUCUCAUCCUCCUAGAUCUAUCCGCUGCCUUCGACUCCGUGAACCAUCAAAUCCUCCUCUCCACCCUUUCAGGGAUGGGUAUCUCAGGCUCUGCAGACUCUUGGUUUGCAUCCUACCUGGCAGGCCGCUCCUACCAGAUGACGUUGAGAGGAUUUGUGUCUGCACCACGGACUCUCACUACUGGUGUCCCCCAGGGCUGUGAGAUGUGGUUGUCCCACCUAGCUAUCUUAAGAUGAUAGCACUAACUGUAAGUCGCUCUGGAUAAGAGUGUCUGCUAAAUGACUAAAAUGUCAAAUGUAAAUGGGGCCUUUAGGACCAUUUAGUGUCAGCUAUACAGGACUAGAUGGGGGACAUGCCAACACAUAGCCUCCUCUGAUACAGAUACUUUCCUCUCUUUUGAGCUUUGUCUAUGUCUAUAAUAGUCUCACAAAAAAAACGUUGAAUAACGGCCUUUCUCAUCCCUGGCUUGCAGCUCUGCCUCCACCAACUCCUUUAGCCCACCUGAAAAUAAACCAAACAUGCUGCAUGUUAUAAUACAAC
rnacentral:lncRNA from 1 species